UAUUUAUAUGGUUAACUAGGAGGAAUGUUUUAUUGAAGGCAGUGGUAAUUCAGAAAUAAAGAACUCAUGUUUUCUAGUCCAAGAAGCACAGCAUUUUGAUGGUGGAAGCCAAUACAUACCAAACAAGCUGGACUGCAAGUGAAUUCCUUUUUCUUCAAGACCCAAGUCAAAUGUCUCAUGUGGCUAACCUUAACUGACUCAAAACCAAGGCAAUUUGAUCACUUCCCUAUAAAAACUCUAUCUCUUACACAUAUCUUCACCCUGAGAGUUAUCACACUUUGUUAAAAUCAUAUGUUUAGCAUUUAUUUUUUAUAAUUAUUAUAAUUUGUAAGCAAAGUUUUUGUUAAAAUUUAACUGGUAUGGUCCUACAUUUUCCUGUUAUGCAAGCGGGUUUACAUGUCUAUCUCCACAACUGGAUUGUAAGUUACUUCAAAGCAAGGGGUUAACUUUUGUUCAACUAUGAACCCUUAGUACCUAACACAGAGUUUGAUUUGUAAUAGGCACUCAAUGUUUUCUCAAUAAGUGAAUAAAUACUAUAAUCAUG